UAGGGAAUCUUCCACAAUGGACGCAAGUCUGAUGGAGCAACGCCGCGUGAGUGAAGAAGGUUUUCGGAUCGUAAAGCUCUGUUGUUGGUGAAGAAGGAUAGAGGCAGUAACUGGUCUUUAUUUGACGGUAAUCAACCAGAAAGUCACGGCUAACUACGUGCCAGCAGCCGCGGUAAUACGUAGGUGGCAAGCGUUGUCCGGAUUUAUUGGGCGUAAAGCGAGCGCAGGCGGAAUGAUAAGUCUGAUGUGAAAGCCCACGGCUCAACCGUGGAACUGCAUCGGAAACUGUCAUUCUUGAGUGCAGAAGAGGAGAGUGGAAUUCCAUGUGUAGCGGUGGAAUGCAUAGAUAUAUGGAAGAACACCAGUGGCGAAGGCGGCUCUCUGGUCUGCAACUGACGCUGAGGCUCGAGAGCAUGGGUAGCGAGCAGG
rnacentral:rRNA from 1 species